AAAAUCAUGGAAAAAUUGAAAAAGAAACCUUUUGUCCCCUAAAUCCAAAAUGCAAAUCCCCCCAAUAGGAUGCCAAAGAUCAGCCAUGGUAUUGCAUAAUGAAGGAAAAUGAACAACACUAUCAGUUAAACAUCGCCCUACCAAACAAAAUUGAUAAUUCUGAUCCACCACCGUAGCCUCCUCAUGAAACGCAUCCUCUUCCUCAUCAAGUAAAUUCAGAUUGGCUAAUCCCUCCUCCAUCACUCAAAAACAAAGAAACUACCAC
rnacentral:lncRNA from 1 species